rnacentral:misc_RNA from 1 species
UGUUAUUCCCCCUUGUCACAGCAUC